UAGGGAAUCUUCCGCAAUGGACGAAAGUCUGACGGAGCAACGCCGCGUGAGUGAUGAAGGGUUUCGGCUCGUAAAGCUCUGUUAUGAGGGAAGAACACGUACCGUUCGAAUAGGGCGGUACCUUGACGGUACCUCAUCAGAAAGCCACGGCUAACUACGUGCCAGCAGCCGCGGUAAUACGUAGGUGGCAAGCGUUGUCCGGAAUUAUUGGGCGUAAAGCGCGCGCAGGCGGCCUUUUAAGUCUGAUGUGAAAUCUUGCGGCUCAACCGCAAGCGGCCAUUGGAAACUGGGAGGCUUGAGUACAGAAGAGGAGAGUGGAAUUCCACGUGUAGCGGUGAAAUGCGUAGAUAUGUGGAGGAACACCAGUGGCGAAGGCGACUCUCUGGUCUGUAACUGACGC
rnacentral:rRNA from 1 species